rnacentral:misc_RNA from 1 species
GUGAAUCAUCGAAUUUUUGAACGCAAAUUGCACUCUCCUCGGAGAGUAUGCCGGUUUGAGGGUCAGCCUAGAAAAAAUCGACAUCGGGGCUGUUGCGCGGUGGCGUUCGUCGGAAAUGGGGUCAUCUUAAAUCGUUUGGUUUUAAGCGACUGAAGAUUUGCUUUUUGGGUCGAGGAAAGGGU